rnacentral:lncRNA from 1 species
UGAGUUUUGAUAGGUAGGGAAGCUUGAGGUUUCCAUUGCUUUUGCAUGGAAAGUUGCAAAGCUUUCAAUGUUCCGUUUCUUCUUUUUUUUUCUAUUUGAAACCUGCAAAUAAUUAGAAUGAAAAGGAUGUUAAUUUGAUCACUUUUCUAUGGUUAUGUAAUAGGCUUUUUAAUGUUGAAUUUCUUUGAAGGUUCUUCUCACUUCUUAACAUUUACCUCUUCAUUUUUGGAUUUGGUGUUAAUAAUAACCAAAAUCUCCAAGCUCAAUAGAGUUAAUGUCCUCUAUUAGUUGUAAUUUCUCAAUAUUUACCUCCUGCCUAUCAAGUACUUCCAGUUCUUGAAUAAAGGGGUUUUCUGCAAGUAUAUAUCAAUUACACAUGUUUUGAGUUGGCAUAAUUUCCGAUAAAAUGCAAGGUCUAUUUGGUAAUCUUAAGGAUAACAAGUUCUACUGUAUCCACAGAUUCCGGAAGCCUAGUUUUGAGUACAAACUGCGUUCUACAUAAGUAAAUAAUUUUAGAAGUUAAUAAGUACUUUUAACAAGCUAAACACAGAUUACAAAUAUUAGAUACAUAGAAACAAGUUCAUGCAUAGGAUCUAACUCAUCUAACCAACAUAAGAUGGUUAAUUGUUAGUGAUCAAUCUAGAUUAAAUGGAAAGUCCUAAUAUUGAUUAUAGUGGACAUGCGUGGGAAGGCAUGAUCUGAAUAAUAAGCUAAACAAAAGCAGAUGGUUAAGAGAAUGAAAGAUUAUCCUACAAUCCAGUGCCAAAUUUUUAGCAGUAAAUGCUGAACAUCACUUCAUAGUAAACUUAAAAUUACCAAUAACAAGAACACCAGUUAACUAUCCAACUAGACUAAAACAAGAAAAACGCUGAUAUUAUAAUGCAACCUAUGUGUAGGGGUAUAAAACCAAGUUGCUUAAGUUGGGAAUGUGUUCUACUCCAUUAGAGCUCAUGGAGGAUUAUGCAUUAGAUAAACUACUAAUAAUUAAGCUAUAUGGUUAUAACCAUUCAAUGACCAUAAAAAUUUUGAGUUCCUUGAUUCAACUUGAUUAAAGGCUCAUUUGAGAUCGACUCCAAGGCUAACAAGUCAAACUUGAAUACAUUCUAUAUUGAACCAUACUUGCCGAACUCUAUGUUCAACUCGAUACAACCCUUACCAAAGGAUGCUUAAAGCAAUAAUGUUGAUAAAGAAAUAAUUUUUGUAUUUUCCAAACAACCAAAGAAAAGUGAAAAAGGAACGUGAAAAUCCACCAAAGAAGGUUGACUGUAUAUCAACCUUCUUUUGGUAGUUGGGUGAAGGUUGCAACUUUGAGAUGAAAGAUCCCAAGUAGGGGUGAAAAGAUGCUGGAAAAUAUCAGCCAGCCCAAAAGCAGAAAUCUUGUGCUAAACAGUGACAUACAGUACCAUGCAUACUUAUUUCUAGAUGACAAAAACAGUGAUUCUGCAUUCCGACCACAACAUGUGUCUCGAAGAGCAGGCUAUCUAUGAGUUUGUGCCACAUGUAAUGAUUAAGCAUACAAUUUGAACAAUCCUGACCCACUUAUUUCUAAGAGGACAUGAUUUUGGGCACAUCCGUGGGAAUAUAUGGUACAAGUCUCAAUUAUAUAUUACCACAUGUCCAACUAAAUGGGACCGACCAAUGUUUAAGACAUUCAAUUAGACAUAUGGCAGAACAUGAUUGGUGAGUUAUACCUGUAUGUACACGAUUCUUUCCAUUCUAAUAAAGCAAGAGAAAUAACAUUUUAAGAUCCACAUCACAAAUCAUCAAGUCAAAUUCCCACGAAUUAAAGUAAAGACUCCACAAAUGGUGGACAGUUUUUUAAAAAAAUCCCAGCAUAAUUACCUGAGUACAAAACCCUAGAAUGUAAAAACAAAAUAGGAGCAUAACACUAUUCGAGGUCCAGACCCUUGAUUCCAAUGGAGAUAGAUUCUUAGGGCUGAAAAUAGAUUGUUUAAUAUGAAAAAAGCAUUGGCUGCAAAUCACUGACAGAUCUAUAGAGAUGCUUCUUAUGGACUAGAAGAUUUUAUUCACCGGACAACACUGCAAGAUGUGUCCCAUCCCUUGACUCUUAGAAACAUGAAAACUAUUCUUUCAUCUUGACAACUAUAUAGAUUAUGCUAUAAACCUUGUGUCUUGUAAUCUAUUUCGACGACAUCUGAGGCCAACGUGAUCCCAAGCAACGAUUCCAAUCACCCAAGACCCCAGNNNNNNNNNNNNNNNNNNNNNNNNNNNNNNNNNNNNNNNNNNNNNNNNNNNNNNNNNNNNNNNNNNNNNNNNNNNNNNNNNNNNNNNNNNNNNNNNNNNNCGUCAGUGUUAUAAAAAUCUCCGGCAAGGUCCAAUUAAUCCCCUCCUAAGUGUUAGGCGGUACUUUACCGCCUUGAUUUGGCCAAGAGUCUAGGCCCCCCUAGGCAGACUUUCUACUUUGAAGCUCUAAAAUACUUAAAUUAAUUUUUUAAGACUUAAAAGAUUGUUUUUUGGUAAUAUUUCAUAUAAAAUUUAAACAAAUUACAUAUACUACUUGUUUUGUAGAGUUAACAAGAAUAUACAAUAAAAAAAUAAAUAAAUGAGAUUGUCUAAAAAAACGUCUAGUCUGCCUAAAAAAACGCUUAGGUGGUGCCUAAGCAGCCUAAGCGCGCGUUAGGCGUCAACUCCGCUACCUAGGUCCGCCAAACAAUUUUUAGAAUAUUGGUCUACGGUCUACACCCAUCACCCAAUAUAACAAGGGAAAAGUUAUCUGUCAAGAUUCGAUAUAAUUUAUGUUUUGGUAUUUAUGAACAAUUUAAAUAUUUGAUAUAUUUUUAUUUAUUAAUUAGUCGUCAGGUAGGUUUAAUUAUUCUAGGCCCGUUUAUGUUUUGGGCUUACUUUUUAAGUUUAUUGGAUUUUAUUUAUUUCUAGGGUCAAGAACCUCUUAUUAUUUUCUGAUUUCAUAAACAUUAUGGCUGCUUAUAGUCAAUGUUCGAAAAAGUUAAAAGCGGUACAAAGCUUUUUUCUCCGGACGAGGCGAAACGUAAGCCUCGACGCCGAGCGAGGCGUAAGCCUCGAUUUGAAAACAUAUGUUAUUGAUAAAUAUUGAAUAUAUACAAAUUUUGUGGUGAUGAAUAAUUUAGAGAAAAAGAUUCAGUUAACAAUACUCGACUCCGUCAAGUUAUCAACACAGGAAAUGUUUUUUUUUGCUCUAGGGACUUAAGUGCAGGAAAUAUAAAGAAACAGGGGCUGAACUAAAACUUCUGAAACUUCAGGGGCUGAAAUGAAAGAAAAUGAAACUAUAGGGGCUGCUUUGUAAAAUUUUAGGGUCUAUUUUGAAAUUAAGAAAACUUUUGGGAUUAAACUAAAAAUUUAUAAAGACUAUGGGGUACCUAAUUGUAAUUAUCCAUAAGAUAUUUGGCCAACAAAAACAGAGAGACGACACUUCACAUAGUCGCACGAAAUAAAUGACUGGGGCUCGAAAGUUGAAGAAGAAGAAGAAGAAAGUGAAAGUGAAAGUGAAGAAGAAGAAGAAGAAGAAGAAGAAAGUGAAAGUGAAGAAGAAGAAGAAGAAGAAGAGAGAAAAAGAGAAUUCGCACGAACCUGUUUUUUUUUGUUUCAAAUCAAGGCGUAGGCCUUGCUACGCCUCGAGGCGCAAGGCGACGAGGAGCACGCCUCAGCCGAAUAAAGCCCAAGCCUCUGAAUUUCUCAAUAAGCCUCGCCACAUCUAGCUCACGCCUCGCCACGAGGCGCGCCUCGAGGCGCACGCCUCAAUCGCAAUUUUGAAUAAUGUUUAUAGUCAAUUUUAUCCAAUUUUGUGAAUUCCUAUGAUUGCAAAGUUAUAUAUAUUAAAUUUCUGUAAUUGUUUUUAUUCUCUUUACCGUCUUCUGCUGUGUCAAUAUAUAUUAUAUUUUGAUUACAUGUGGUUUACAAUUCCUAUAUCACCAUAACACAAUUCCAAAUGACAGCUUGAAAAGUCAAAUGAAAUUAUUCGGGCUCUUAAAAUGUUCGAAACCAUUGGAUUUGAUGGGAUUUCAAAUCAAAAUGAGAUUAUUUUUUCAGAAUAAGUAAAAUUAAUGUAUUCAAAGACACCCCAAGGGAUUACCCCUAUGUACAUUGGAGCCACAAAAAAACAACCACCCAACAUCACCAGACCCACAACACCACAUCAUGACCCUAGGUUAAACUAAGACAAAAAAUCCACGCGCAAAAAAAUAUGGAAUCUGGUUCUUUUGCCAAAAGAUAAUAAGACUAAAAAAGAGUGCACUCUAUCCUUGACGUACACACGCUCCACUCUCUCGAUAGCACCCCACCCACAAAAAACAAUGAGAAAUCAUAUCCCAUAGAGAUCGACUUCUCUUGGGAACCUUUUGACCCUCUCCGCGCUCCCAAACAAUCCACCACCAUGCCAUGCAUUACCCAUGUCGUCCCCAAAAUCACAAAACUAACAACCACAAAUACCCAACAGUCGCAAUGAAGAAGCAAAUGACCCAACCACCUCGCUCCACCCCCAACCUUCUCCUCUACAAAUGAUCCUCUUUUGUAGCAAAUCGCCACAACCAUUUCCUACACAAGGCAAUAUUGAACAACCCAAAGUCUUUCAGGCCUAAGUAGUGGCGGACCUAGGUUAGGGGCAGUGGGGUUAAUUGACCCACUUAAUUUUCAGGGAAAAAAAAGAAUAAAUUUUUAAGACGUUUAAUAAAAAAUUUAAAGUUUAAAUUGAAAAAUAUCAUCUCCGUUCCAAAAUUAGAGAUACAUGUUGAAUUUUUAAAGUCAAUUCGCAAAAUCCUAAAAUUCAAAAUUGAUAUGAAGUUAUUUAGUUUUAAAACAACAUAUAUAACAUUUGUAAACUAACUAUAAAACACUACUAAUUAUUAUUUUUGUUGUUUUCAAAACUUGAACAAACUUAUAACAAUUUGAGUAUUAGGAUUUCACGAAUUGACUUUAAAAAGUCAAAAUGUAUAUUAAUUUUAGAUUGGAGGUAGUAUUAAAUUCUUCAAAAUUCAUAUCCUAUACUACCUUGGUCACUACCAUACUUUUUGUCUCUCCGUUUCUCGUCUAGUGGUUUGGCCUAAUUCUUCUCACUAGCUCGACUUUAGUGAAAAUUCGAUAUGUUGUAUUUUUUUUAAUUAUAAUUUCAAAAUUUUAGCAAUUACUUUAAGAUUUUUUAUAAUUACUUGCGGGUUUUUUUUUUUUUUAAUUGCUUGUGGAUUUUUGUAACUAAUAAAAAUGAUACAACAAUUUUAAGUAAUGAAAUUUCAAAAAAUGUUACUAUAAAUAAUAUUUUGGGAUUAUUUAAUUUUGUAAUUUAUUUUACUAUAUUUUUAUUUUUUUGUGGAAAUUUGUUUAUUUGAAAUUUGACAGCACUGAUCAAAGAGUCUGGAUCCGUCCCUGGGCCUAAGCUACCAGAUCCAUGGGAGCACAAACUUGCUCCCAAUUCACUAAAUAGUGUUUGAAAUACUGGACCGGAUUUCAUUUAAGACUUUGUAAUCCCAGUAAAUAUAGUCAGAUUUCAAGCCAUUUCAAAUUACUUCAACAAGAAAACAAUUGCAUUUCGAUUUGAUAUCCAGAUAUAAAAAUCUCAUUUCUAGCACUAGCUGCUCCAGCAAGGGUGGAAGCGUAUACAAAAUCAUUACUACUCUAUUCCCUCUUUACCCCACAAACGUUAAUUGGCUUUAAAGUUUGAGGUAAAGAGGGAAUAGAGUAGUAAACGAAAUUGGCUUUAAAAUCCUGUCAAUUAUUUGCUUAAUAAGAAGAAAUUUGGCAUUUAUAUAGUUUAGGCAGUAAAUUCCAGAUACACAGAAAAGAAGUACAAAGUACUCUAGUAUUGCACAAUCUAGAAUACUGAAGCGGAUUCAUUUUCAUAUAUUCUAUAGAGAGAGAAAGAGAGAGUGACCUUACGGCAGUGCAGGCGUUGGUAGCGACGUCGUCGGUGCAAGCUAAUUACAAAGCAGAAACCACCACCACUUUCACUUUCUCUAUUUUCUUUUCAAU